GACGUAGGUUGCAAACGUUAUCCGGAAUUAUUGGGCGUAAAGAGUUCGUAGGUGGACUUCUAAGUAGAUUGUUAAAGACCAGGGCUUAACUCUGGCAAGGCAGUCUAAACUGGGAGACUAGAGAAAGGUAGAGGCAAAUAGAAUUCUGUGUGUAGGGGUAAUAUCCGUAGAUACACAGAGGAAUACCAAAAGCGAAGGCAUUUUGCUGGACCUUUUCUGACACUCAAGAACGAAAGCGUGGGGAGCAAACAGG
rnacentral:rRNA from 1 species